rnacentral:miRNA from 1 species
GAUGGCAGUGAAGGGAACA